GGGCGAUUAGCUCAGAUGGAUAGAGCGCUGGCCUCCGAAGCCAUAGGCCGAGAGUUCGAGUCUCUCAUCGCCCACCA
rnacentral:tRNA from 6 species